GGUGAGUAACGCGUAGUCAAUCUGCCCUCGAGUGGGGGACAAGCCCGGGAAACUGGGUCUAAUACCGCAUGCGGUCUUCGGGAUGAUGUCCUGAAGAUCAAAGUCGCAAGACGCUCGAGGAUGAGACUGCGUCCUAUUAGCUUGUUGGUGGGGUAACGGCCUACCAAGGCAACGAUGGGUAGCUGGUCUGAGAGGACGACCAGCCACACUGGGACUGAGAUACGGCCCAGACUCCUACGGGAGGCAGCAGUGAGGAAUAUUCGGCAAUGGGCGCAAGCCUGACCGAGCGACGCCGCGUGAGUGACGAAGCCUCUAGGGGUGUAAAGCUCUUUUGUUGGGGAAGAAUGUCCACUACGGUGGAAGAGACGGUACCCGACGAAUAAGGACCGGCUAACUCCGUGCCAGCAGCCGCGGUGAUACGGGGGGUCCAAGCGUUGUCCGGAUUUACUGGGCGUAAAGGGCGCGUAGGCGGGACGAUCAGUCGAGGGUGAAAAUUGCGGGCUUAACCUGCAAAUUGCCUUUGAUACUGUCGUUCUUGAGUGAAGAAGGGGAAAGCGGAAUACCUGGUGUAGCGGUGGAAUGCGCAGAUAUCAGGUAGAACACCGGUGGCGAAGGCGGCUUUCUGGUCUUACACUGACGCUGAGGCGCGAAAGCGUGGGGAGCAAACAGGAUUAGAUACCCUGGUAGUCCACGCUGUAAACGAUGUGCACUAGAUGUCGGGGGAAUCGACCCCUCCGGUGUCGCAGCUAACGCAUUAAGUGCACCGCCUGGGGAGUACGAUCGCAAGGUU
rnacentral:rRNA from 1 species